rnacentral:rRNA from 1 species
AUGGAGGCGAGCACCGUGGCAGCUCUGUAUCCCGCGCACCGAUGCAAAACCGUAUACCUGGUGAGGCAUGCCCAGGGUUUCCACAACGCGGCAGAAGAGUCGGAUAUUAUAGACCACACUUCACCUGCGCUGCUUGAUGCUCAACUUACCCCUUUGGGCUGGAGCCAAGUUGAUUGCCUGCGAGAGCAUGUGACGAAAUCUGGACUAGCAAAAAAGAUUGAGUUGGUUAUUGUUUCCCCUCUAAUGAGGACUAUGCAAACUGCAGUGGGGGUCUUUGGUGGUGGGAACUAUACUGAUGGAGUAAGUGCACCCCCUUUAAUGGUAGAAGGUGCAGAAAACAGUGGACGUCAGCCGAUUUCAAGUUUGAACUGCCCACCGUUUCUUGCAGUUGAGGCCUGCAGGGAGAAGUUGAGUGUUCUUACUUCUGACAAGAGGAGCAGCAUAACAAGAUACCGUACUCUCUUUCCUGCCAUUGAUUUUUCCUUGAUAAAGAAUGAUGAAGAUGUUCUUUGGGGACCCGAUGUCAUAGAAACAGAUGAGUCUGUUGUUGCCAGGGGCAUGAAUUUGUUUGACUGGUUAUGGACAAGGGAGGAGAAAGAGAUAGCUAUUGUCACCCAUUGUGGUUUCUUGUAUCACACCCUGAACACGUAUGGUAAAGGGUGUCAUCCAACCGUAGCAGAGGAACUGGGCAAGGUCUUCGCCAACUGUGAGCUCCGGUCGAUGGUGUUGGUCGACAGAAGUAAGCUUGGAUCGGAUACCUCUAGAUACAAUUUCGCUGGGAAGAUACCGGCCGGGCUCGAUAUGCCAAGCGAUGUCGCAGACAAGAAGCAGGCUGAAGAAGCUAGCAAGAAUUGA